UACGUAGGCAGCAAGCGUUGUUCGGAUUUACUGGGCGUAAAGGGCGCGUAGGCGGCCACCGCAAGUCGACUGUGAAAUCUCCGGGCUUAACCCGGAAAGGUCAGCCGAUACUGCGGGGCUAGAGUGCAGAAGGGGCAACUGGAAUUCUCGGUGUAGCGGUGAAAUGCGUAGAUAUCGAGAGGAACACCUGCGGCGAAGGCGGGUUGCUGGGCUGACACUGACGCUGAGGCGCGAAAGCUAGGGGAGCGAACAGG
rnacentral:rRNA from 1 species